AGUGAACGCUGGCGGCAGGCCUAAUACAUGCGAGUCGAACGGCAGCACAGCAGAGCUUGCUCUGUGGGUGGCGAGUGGCGGACGGGUGAGGAAUACAUGGGAAUCUGCCCAGUCGUGGGGGAUAACGUAGGGAAACUUACGCUAAUACCGCAUGCGCCCUUCGGGGGAAAGCCGGGGACCGUUCGGGCCUGGCGCGAUUG
rnacentral:rRNA from 1 species